rnacentral:rRNA from 1 species
UGGGGAAUAUUGGACAAUGGGCGAAAGCCUGAUCCAGCCAUGCCGCGUGUGUGAAGAAGGUCUUCGGAUUGUAAAGCACUUUAAGUUGGGAGGAAGGGCAGUAAAUUAAUACUUUGCUGUUUUGACGUUACCGACAGAAUAAGCACCGGCUAACUCUGUGCCAGCAGCCGCGGUAAUACAGAGGGUGCAAGCGUUAAUCGGAAUUACUGGGCGUAAAGCGCGCGUAGGUGGUUCGUUAAGUUGGAUGUGAAAUCCCCGGGCUCAACCUGGGAACUGCAUUCAAAACUGACGAGCUAGAGUAUGGUAGAGGGUGGUGGAAUUUCCUGUGUAGCGGUGAAAUGCGUAGAUAUAGGAAGGAACACCAGUGGCGAAGGCGACCACCUGGACUGAUACUGACACUGAGGUGCGAAAGCGUGGGGAGC